UGGGGAAUAUUGGACAAUGGGCGAAAGCCUGAUCCAGCCAUGCCGCGUGAGUGAUGAAGGCCUUAGGGUUGUAAAGCUCUUUUACCUGGGAAGAUAAUGACGGUACCAGGAGAAUAAGCCCCGGCUAACUUCGUGCCAGCAGCCGCGGUAAUACGAAGGGGGCUAGCGUUGUUCGGAAUCACUGGGCGUAAAGCGCACGUAGGCGGAUUCUUAAGUCAGGGGUGAAAUCCCGAGGCUCAACCUCGGAACUGCCUUUGAUACUGGGGAUCUUGAGUUCGGGAGAGGUGAGUGGAAUUGCGAGUGUAGAGGUGAAAUUCGUAGAUAUUCGCAAGAACACCAGUGGCGAAGGCGGCUCACUGGCCCGAUACUGACGCUGAGGUGCGAAAGCGUGGGGAGCAAACAGGAUUAGAUACCCGGGUAGUCC
rnacentral:rRNA from 1 species